GAUGAACGCUGGCGGCGUGCUUAAUACAUGCAAGUCGAACGAACAUUAAGAGUGCUUGCACUUUUAAUGUUAGUGGCGAACGGGUGAGUAAUAUAUAGGCAACUUGCCCCAAGGACUGGGAUAACACUUAGAAAUGAGUGCUAAUACCGGAUAUGCCUAAGUACCACAUGGUACAAUAGGGAAAGGAGUAAUCCGCUGAUAGAUGGGCUUGCGUCUGAUUAGCUAGUUGGUAAGGUAACGGCUUACCAAGGCAACGAUCAGUAGCCGGACUGAGAGGUUGAACGGCCACAUUGGGACUGAGAUACGGCCCAG
rnacentral:rRNA from 1 species